UACAUGGGGUGCAAACGUUGCUCGGAAUCAUUGGGCGUAAAGCGCGCGUAGGCGGUUACUUAAGUCGAAUGUGAAAGCCCUCGGCUUAACCGAGGAAGUGCAUCCGAAACUGAGUAGCUAGAGUACGAAAGAGGGUCGCGGAAUUCCCGGUGUAGAGGUGAAAUUCGUAGAUAUCGGGAGGAACACCGGUGGCGAAGGCGGCGACCUGGGUCGAGACUGACGCUGAGGCGCGAAAGCGUGGGAGCAACAGG
rnacentral:rRNA from 1 species